GGGGGAGACUUUGCCUUGUAACUUUCCAUACUGAAGGCUCUGGGGACGGGAAGACUGCGUGCCUUCAGGACACACAAGAAGGCUACAGUUUGCUAGCAAGAAAGAGAGGCCUCACCAGGAACUGAAUCAGCCAGCAUGAUGAUCUUGGACUUUCCAGCCUCCAGAAUGAUGGAUGUCCAGUUGACGUAGUACAUUUAUUGAAGAAAAUGUUUUUCUUUUAUUAUUUUGAUAAAAAGUUAAUCAGAAGUUAAGGAUCCAUAUGCGCAUGAGUCUAUUUUUAGACCUUCUUUUCUCUUCUCUUGAUAAUUCUUAUGAUAACAAUAUGAACUAACAAAUAUGUAAGAUGAACAAGUUGAGAAAUCUAAUGUAUAAUAUGAAUGCUAUAGAUAUUAAUAGUAUAUUGUAUGCAGAAUUUUUGCUAAAUGAGUAGAUUAUAGCUGCUCUUGACACAGGGGGAAAUAUGGGUAAACUAUGUGAGAUGAUGGAUACAUUAAUUUGUUCCUCUAUAAUCAUCACUUUACUAUGUAUAUAUGUAUCUUAGAAUAUGUUGUAUGCCUUAAAUAUUUACAGUACAGUUUUGUUUUUUUUUUUAUUUCAGCAUAGUAUAGGGAUACAAAUGUUUAGGUUACAUAUGUUGCCCUUGCCCCCUCACUUAGCAUUGUUUCAAUUGCUAUGGGUUUAUUAUAAUUCUUGAUAUGCAUGAAAUAAAACCUUUUGAUUUAUCCUUCUUCUUUAGCAGUGUCUUGACUCAUCUUAGUUCUCUUUAUUUCUAUAUAAAUUUUUUCAAUCCCCUUCUCCCCAGAAAAACAUUGUUAGUAUUUGUCUAGGAUGGAAUUAACUAUACAGAUCAAUUUGGGGAGAAUUUAUAUUGCUACAGUAUUGAGUCUUCCAAUAUACUAACUUUACAUAUGCCUCCAUUACGUAGGUCUU